AGAUUGAACGCUGGCGGCAGGCCUAACACAUGCAAGUCGAGCGGUAGAGAGGUGCUUGCACCUCUUGAGAGCGGCGGACGGGUGAGUAAUGCCUAGGAAUCUGCCUAGUGGUGGGGGAUAACGUUCGGAAACGGACGCUAAUACCGCAUACGUCCUACGGGAGAAAGCGGGGGACCUUCGGGCCUCGCGCCAUUAGAUGAGCCUAGGUCGGAUUAGCUAGUUGGUGAGGUAAUGGCUCACCAAGGCGACGAUCCGUAACUGGUCUGAGAGGAUGAUCAGUCACACUGGAACUGAGACACGGUCCAGACUCCGUACGGGAGCAGCAGUGGGGAAUAGUUGGACAAGUGGGACGAAAGCCUGAUCCAGCCAU
rnacentral:rRNA from 1 species